GUGGGCCCACUACAUCAUGUACAUAUUCUGCUCACCCCCAUCACUGUGACUCCUGACUGUUUCCUCCAAAGCUCUAACUCCUCUUCUUCAUUGGGAAGCAGAAUGAUCCAGAAUAUGAUGCAAUGGAGUUACAAUUAAAUACAAACAGAAACCUAAAGAAAAGAAGGAAGGAAAAAAAAAGAAAGAAGAAAGAAGGGAGGAGACAAAAAGAAAAAAGAGAGAAAAAAAAGCUGUUGCCCAUCACUGUGAUGUCUGCUCCUCAUUUCUUUAUCUUUCGCUUCCUUUUAAGAUAAAUUUUGGCAUUAACAUGAUGAACAGGUGACCAAAAUAAUACAGUUAUUGAGGAAGAACAGAUUUAGACUACGGUUCCCAAGUCAGAUCACAUACCCAGGCUUAGGGAGAAGAACUUGAUCAUUUUCCUGGAACCAAUUCUGAGUCCUGAAAGUGAAGAUCACUUUGAGUUAUCACUAAGAGGUCACCAGAGCCAUACUACCAUUGCCAUUCCUGCUGUUGUGGGACUCAUAACAUCAAGAGACUAUUGGAAUCAUCUAGAAUUCAAAACCGAAAUUUCAGGAAGAAUGAACAGACAGAGAACAUACUUAUCACUUGCCUUCAUCAGCAGAGAUUCUUCCAAAAACAAAACUAUCACUUUACCUGGACUCGUUUCCCAAUGGUUAGCAAACUGUCAUUUCCUCUUAUUCUCCACAUCUCUGCUCUACAGAAUUUCAGAAGAUGUGAAAAGAAAACUGUCUCUAGCUUCUGGCAACUUUCUUAUGUUUUCUCAACUCAACAUUGUCCCUCCAUUGUUUCAUUCCUGAUCUGCCCUACUCAGGUCAAUGUGGUCUCUGGAAUUUCUCUAUAGUUAAUAAUUAAGACACUUCUCCUUGUUUACCACA